UACGGAGGGGGCUAGCGUUGUUCGGAAUUACUGGGCGUAAAGCGCACGUAGGCGGCUUUGCAAGUUAGAGGUGAAAGCCCGAGGCUCAACUCCGGAAUUGCCUUUAAAACUGCAUCGCUAGAGUUGUGGAGAGGUAAGUGGAAUUCCGAGUGUAGAGGUGAAAUUCGUAGAUAUUCGGAAGAACACCAGUGGCGAAGGCGACUUACUGGACACAAACUGACGCUGAGGUGCGAAAGCGUGGGGAGCAAACAGG
rnacentral:rRNA from 1 species